rnacentral:lncRNA from 1 species
GGGUGCCCUAACCCCCCCCCUCACCUCAGUGACAGGGUGCCCUAACCCCCCUCCCACCUCAGCCCCAUGACAAGACAUUAGCCCUUCUCCUGGGCUCAUGCACAGCAAAGGACUCUGUGCUCAAAGUCUUCCGGAGGAAACUGUGCGGCCUUGCUCAAGAAGAAGCCUUUCUUGGAAGAAAAAACAGCUGCCCAGCAAUACAGGUGUCCUGGGUGGAAGAGGCGAUUCUUCUGGCAGCCUGUUCUUGGAGUACGUUGACAGCCGUCAGCCACAACUGGUGAAUGCUAGCUUCACUAGGCUUGAAGAGAUGUAGGUGCAAUUUCCUAUUCAGAGCCAGCAGUAAGGACGGAGCUCUUCCUGAGGGCAGCCACGCUUGAGUAAGUGCUGUUCUGUUAUUUGAACCACUGGAACCAGCCCUGGAACAUGCGUUUCACCUGCUAUGGUGAUGGAUUUUAUUUAUGGGCAUGGAUUUUGUUGAGUGAGGAGGAGGUACCUGUGCUUAGAUAUGCACUCAUUGCUUAGCCAGAGCAUCACGCUUUGACAUGAGUUUGAUUUGCUGGUGCCCUUUGUGAGAAAGCGUCACCUUCUCAGAGAUAAAUGAAAAAUAGCAAAAGUACUUACCAGCAAAGGAAGUAAUAGGUGCACCUAGUAAUUCCUGGCUAUAAAAGAACUCUUCUAGGACCACAGCUACUUGGCUGUACAAGGUGUAAAUUAAUAUCUAUCUCCUAGAUAGGCAUUUGGGGAAAAGUGAAUGCAAGGCAGUAAGUUUGGACAGUGAGUUGGAAGCCCAGCUCCUGUUGCUACUUCUGUUACAGACUUACCCAAGGAAGCUGGCAAACUCUUUUAGCCUUGCUUUCCCCAUCUAUCAUGCGGAGGUGACCGAUAGCUUGCUCACAGGUUGAGACAUAAUUAACUGCCAUGAAGUGCCUAGCAAGCCUUUCAUAAAAAGGACUGAGAGCGUCUGCAAUCCUAAAUCAAAUAGCUCCUCACGCUGCCUUCUCUCACAAAUGAGCUUGGAACCUCUGUGGCUACUUGCUGUGAGUUAAGCUAGCCAGCUACGUAAAUUAGCUUGAGCCCAUGUCUCUCCUGCUUGCAGGUCCU